CGUCGUGGGCCAAUGGCACACGGCGCAGCUUGGUCGCAGUAUGCGCGCCUGGCCAAUCGCGCACGCCCCCCCCUGCUCACAUGACGCCUUUCUAUAUGUUGGCUCUCCUCUCAACGCUCAAUAGCGACCAACCCAGGCAUCAUUGCAGACUUGACACCGGCCAACUGGGACGUCCAACAUCUACGGUGUGCAGUGAGAAUGUGUGCUUAAAAAGAAAAAAAAAAAACAAAAAAGAAAAAUGAAAAAAUACAUCACAUGAAGAUGUGCACAUGAUGACUCUCACUGCAGAGGAAGGACAACACACUUUUCCGCAAGCAGACGACCGGAGAUGCACGCGACGAGACACAAACGCCCAUAAGUUGCUAAAAUAAAUCUUCAGUUCAUGCAUGGCGUUGCCAUGAGAGGAAGAAUAGAGAACAAGUGCCUCCAACACAGAGGAGGGGAGGAAGGGAAGCCCCAGAGCAGAACACGACAAGAAAAAGACAAAAGUGAUUAAAGAGUGGUCCAGACAUGUUGACGGCAAACAUAAACACGCACAACCACAUAUACAACGGCACCUUGGGUCUGUCUGUGGUCUAACACCAGCAUACCAUCCUCGCCAUCCCCGCAUUUGUCGCCGCAUGCCACACACACACCAUUUCCUUUUACGGUACCUUGAAUUUCUUAAGCUUGUGCAGCUGCCACCAAAUCAAAUGAGCAACUAUUGCCCAAAUGGCCGCAAGAUAAAAACAGGCAGCAUUCCAUCUCUGACGAGACAGAAGAAGAUGCACACACACACACACACACACACACACACACACCACACACACACACACACACACACACACAGCCAGGGGCGCGUGAGCAGGUGAGCAUUAAGUCAGGCACUAAACAUUGCGGUUUGAUAUCAGUAGACAGACAGAGGAUGCCGGUUUGUACCUGCAGGCAGUCAGCAGCACCCUCACCAGGAAUGUCCUCCCACUUGUGAGACACAUAAAUGUAACUGUGGGCUUUCCUCUCAAACACCGUUAUGACCGGCUGAAACUGGUCUUCAAAUCGAAACUGCUAACCAUCUUCGAAUCAUCGCCAAAACACACCAUCACCAAAUCAUAAUAAUCCCAAUUUGCAUCGGCAACAUCAUCAAAUAGCCACUUGGUCUAUGGCUGAAUAUUUUGAAGUAUCACGUAUAAUUCAAUGAGAACUUAAGGCAAACGUCCAACAACUUUGCAAUGCUGUACAGAAGUGGGGGGGUGGGACUCCCUAAAUGUGUCCUCAUUUGAUUUUUGCGUGAUCUUGCUAUCAAUUGACCAUAACAUUUAUAAAUAAAUAAAUUAAAAGUAUCACCAAAUCUCUAUUAUGUAUUGUGAACCAUUCUGAAGCAAUUGUUUACAGUAAUACUACAAUUGUACCUUAAAUUGUGAUUUUCCACUGGCUACCAUGGCAACCCCACAUUACCUUCUUUAGUGGCCACUUCCAUGGUAAAAUAAAAAAAUAUAUAUAUUGCCCAGAUAAUGAACCUCCUGUACUAGUUCAACCUGAGCCAAGAAAGAAAAGGUUAUGUAUUGUCAUUAUAUUUCAGCACACAUUCACAUGCUACUCUGAUAUUGACGACAGGGACUUCCUUUGUCACUUUGGAGUAAUUUGAUCAUCCCUGUUGAAAUUGUCUUUCUGGAAUAACAAGGAUGUAACGACAAGGUAACCGGCAUCAUUUGAGAAACUCUGACGAUAUCAAUUACCCCGACCUGUUCUGCUAGUUAGCUUUCGUGGGAACUUCACAGGGCCCCUUGGGUGUGUAUUUUUGGGUAACCUAUUGUGUAAUAUAUCACCUGUAGUGGUGUGAAAAUUAAGAUGGCCACCAAGCACAACCAAGUCUAGGGAACCAUUUUAGGAGGAACGAAAUAAUGAGUGUGGAUUUACUUUGUUGGUAAGCGCUUCGUGAACAUGUAUAUUUUUAAGAAACCCACCACCUCCGCUCAUCUAAUGAUGACUCAGUGGUUAAAUGUCAGAGCUGUCCGCGCCAUUAAGGCCAACGCGUUUGAAGGCUGGACACCCUCAAACCCCACCCUCACCUCCCCAUGUCUCUUCUUAUUUCUCUCUCGCUUCCACUCUGACUUUGCCUUCAUCCGCCAUCAUCCAUCUCCCACACAUCCAGGCUGGUUUGAGGGCUGAUCUGUGCACAGACCUUGUCAUUCACAUUAGGGCAACAUUGUCAGCUCAGGGCCAUUCCUUUUCUCCCUCUCUCCCUCUCUCUCUCUCUCUUCAUGGCCCAGAUCUUUCUUCCUGUCACCCUCAUCCUCAGGCCAGAGAAGACCUUAUACAGCAACAUCCUUCUCAUCCACUUCUGUCAAUUCCAACACUGUCAUUCAAAUCCAGUUUCGUGAGGGAGCACACAAGCCGAGUUUCUAACAUCCCUUGCAGCAAGGCCUGUGCUGUUUUUGGUCCAAACUUGGUGUUGCAGUGGCAAACAACCGCUUAAUUUUUUAGGGGUGGGGGGAAUGGAGAUUUUUUUUUUUGCACAGGCAGUGGCAGAAGAGGAAAAUGCAGGAAAAUGAGCACGACAGGCAUGUAUAAAAUUAUUACCUGAUGGAGUUUAAUGAUUGUGGUAUUUUGUUUCACAUUGCCUAAGUGAUUUAGUCUGUUCUUUAAAAGUUUCCCAAUAGCAUACUUUCCUUGCUGGCCCCAUCCAGAGCUUUUGCCACUUAUGUACAGUUACAUUUUUUCUAUAAGCAGAUUAAGAAUGUUGCCUGGUAAAACAUCAACACCUCAAUGUUUGGUAAAACCUUUCACACAAGGCGCUGCACAGUUUUAAUCGUUGAACAGCAAAGAUUACAUCAUAGCAAAACCGAUUUUUAAUUAAGGUGAGUAGACAGUUUCAUCCUGCACAUUGAAAGACGUUCUUGACAUGACGACGCCCUGCAGAGACCACACCACACCUAAAAACUGCCAUGACUCAGCAGUUUUGAGACGACAUCAUUCUGUUUCUUGUGCUAUUUUAAAGCAAAUAAAGCCCUUUUCUAUACAGCGACACUAUCCGUAGAGUCAUAAUGAUAAUGUGUUGCAGGAGUAGGACUUGGUGACAGUUCAUGACAGGCCAGUGUUGACAUUGCUGGCAUUUAACAAUGAGUGAGGCAAAGCCAGUUCAUUGUGCAAGGGUUAGUCUUGUUAGUGGAGAAUAUGGCGUGUGCAUAAGCUCUAACGAUACAUCUCUACCAGUUCCUUUUUUAAUCCUCUUUUACUGUCAUUCUCAGGUUCAGUAGUGCACGGUACGGUACAAUAUGGUAUAUAUGCAUAUACGUAGAAAUGUAUUUUUUAAGUAAGCUUACUAAUGCAUGUGUUUAGAAUUAGCAUUGUGUGUACACUGUAGGCAUUUGCAGAAUGUGGCCAAGCCAGCCAUGUUUUUUGAAGCUUUUUUGUUGUUGUUGUUGUUGCUAUCCAUGGUAACCAUCG